UCCGGAACGAGGGCUCCGGCAUUUCCGGAUUGAAAGGGUGCCGAGCCUAAAUCGCGUUGUCCCCCCUCGUUGGCCGCUGGAGCGCUGGAAUUUCCAAACUGAAGCAACGAGGGGCGCGGCGGCCGGGCGAGCUCAGGGGGGGCUGCUCCCGGCGCGACAGGUUCGGUCCCGGGGCCGGGCUCACCGCGGUGCUGCGGUGCCGCUGCUCUAAGCGCUCUACGGAAUACCGCCAACUACCCUGGACGGCCCUGCGGUGUUCAGUGGGUGCCUGCUGUGAUAGGAAUCCUUCCAAGAGCUGGCGACAGGGCAGUGAUGAGGAAAGACAAACAUUUCGUCAUUGUGCAGAGAUGGUUUCAACGGCGGGGGACCGAUAAGAAACAAAAAUAAAAUAUAUGGGGUGAGUGUUGGUGAUUGGUGCUGAGAGGAAAUAGAAUAGGAGGGAUAGGGAAUGUGAGGGUUAAUGAACUUUUAAGUAGAGUACUCUGGGAAAGACUGAGAAGGCGACAUUUGAGCAAAGACACGGGGAAGUGAGGAGGCUCCUGUGACAAUAUCAGAGAGGGAAGGUACCAGACAGAGAGUGCUGAAUGUGCAAAGGCCCUGAGGUAGGGACAGCCUGGAGGCCCAUAUGACUGGAGUGCAGUAAGGAAGGGAGGAGGAAACGAGGGCAGGGAGGAGAUGGUGCCCGGCAUGCUUGUCAGCCUGCAGAGGACUUUGGCUUUUCUUCCCAGUGAGGUGGGAGCCAUGGAGGAGGGACAGCCCCAGCUCCAGUGUUUACAGGCACCCUCCUGAGACAGCAGGAGCUAUGUCCCAGGGCCAGGGAGGACAGGAGGCCAGAGAGGAGGUGACUACUCUAGUCGAGGAAAAGGAAAGUGGAGGCUCCCCAGCCCUUCGCUGAAGUUGCCAGGAAGGGCAAGGCUUCCUCCCGGGUGCCAGGCAGUCUUGGGCAGUCCAGUGAGUGGACCCACUACAGACUAGAGGCCGCGGACUCAUGUCCCGCUUUGUGGCCUGGCCCCUGCUCUCCCUUCACUCUGAGCUGUGGCGUGGCCACCCCGCCCUUCCUGGCAGCUUCAGUGAAUUUCUUUUGUCCCCGAGCAUUCUGAACAUGCUGUUCCUCUAGCCCAGAAUUUCCUUCCCACCGCUUUUACAGGAGGUUCUCAGAGCAUUUCAUCCACAAGGUUGUGACAGAAGGAGGAGCAGAUUGGGGUUUGGAUCCAGGCUCUGACAACUUAGCGGCUGUUUUAGUGGACGUUCUCCCCAAAAGCAGCCCCUGGAACCAAACUUGGUGUUCUGGCAGUUUAUACCUGGGAUGGGGGUUUGGGGGGAGUCGGGGAAGGCAACCAGAAAAGCUGUGGGUUAGUAUGGAGACCUCCUUUGGGCCACUGUGGUUCAGUCUCACUGAGGAACCCCUUGGAGAUGGGCGGACUUUUUACGCCAAUCCUGUGCCUCGCUGGGUCAAAGCUCCUCCAGGAAUGUCAACUCCCUAAUACUUCAUUACUCCAUAUGUACAUUUCUAUUCAUUUAUUUAAACAGUUUUUGGUCACCGGCUGUCCAUCGCAUCCCAGGACCCAUUUACCUUGUAACCGGAAGUUUGUACCCUUUGACCCGCUUCACCCAUUUCCCCCACCCCCUGCCUCUGGCAACCACCAAUCUGUUCUGUAUGUAAAUUCAGGUGUUUCUUUUGUUUUGCUUUAAAGUUGAUUUAUUUAUUUUGAGAGAGAGAGGGGGGCGUAGAGAGAGAAUUCCAGGCAGGCUCCACACUGAGAACAGAGCCCGAUGCAGGAUCACACAAAGCACGAGAUCCUGACCAGAGCUGAAAUGGGACGCUUAACCAGCUGAGCCACACAGAGAGAGAGAGAGCGUGAGCUGGGGAAGGGGCAGAGAGAGGGAGACACAGAAUCCGAAGCAGACUCCAGGCUCUGGGCUGUCAGCACAGAGCCCACCACGGGGCUCACACCCACAAGCCAUGAGAUCGUGACCUGAGCCAAAGUUGGACGCUAGAAUGACUGAGCCACCCAGAUACCCCAGUAGUACUAUUUUUAAUUUUGGGGGAAACCCACAAUACUAGCUUUCAAAGUGGCUAUACCAAUUUACAUUUAUAUGCUGUGUGUGUGUGUGUGUGUGUGUGUGUGUGUAUACAUAUAUAUACACAUACAUGUAUAUAUGUAUAUAUAUGUGUGUAUAUAUGUGUGUGUAUAUAUAUAUAUAUUUGAGACAAAUUCACAAUAUAAAACUUACUUUUUGCCCUUUAAAAAUUUUCCUGUGUAUUCACAAUCUUGUACAACCAGUAUAUGAUUCUGGAACAUUUCCAUCACCAUCCCCAAAAACCUGGUACCUCCCAAUCCUCUCUCCUCUCAGCCCCUGGCAACCACUAAUCUGCUGUCUCUAUGGGCUUGCACAUUCUGGACAUUUCCUAUCAGUGGAAUCACACACUAUGUGGCCUUUUGUGUUUGGACUCUUUCCCUUAGCAUAAUGUUCGUGAUGUUUAGCAUAACGUUUCGUCCAUGUUGUAGCAUGUAUUAAUACGUUUUCCUUUUUUUUAAUUUAAAUUUAAAUUUUUUUAUUAAGUGGGCUCCACGCCCACUUUAAGAGUCGGACUCAACCAACUGAGCCCCCCAGGCGCCCCUAUACUGAAUUUCUUUUUAGGGCUGGAUAAUAUUGCAUUGUAUGGAGAUAGGACUUUUGCUUUAUUCAUUCACCAGCUGAUGGACAUUUGGGUUGUUUCUCCCUUUUGGCUACCCUGAAUCAUGCUGCUAUGCACGUUCAUGUGCAAGUGUUGGUAUGAAAAUUUUUUCAGUCCUUUCGGGAAUAUACAUAGACGUGCAAUUGCUGGGGGGGAAGCGCCUGGGUGGCUCGGACGGUUGAGGGUCUGACUUUGGCUCAGGUCAUGAUCUCGCGGUUUGUGAGUUCGAGCCCCGCGUCAGGCUCCGCGCUGACAGCCCAGAGCCCGCUUCGGAUUCUGUGUCUCCCUCUCUCUCUGCCCCAUCUCUGCUCAUGCUCUGUCUCUCUGUCUCUGUCUCUCAAAAAUAAGUAAACAUUAAAAAAAUUUUUUUAGAAUUCUACUUUCUGCACAUCCUCAUUGAUACUAUUGUCUGUUUUUAAUUUUUUUUUUUUUUUACAUUUUAUUUAUUUUUGAG